rnacentral:rRNA from 1 species
AUUGAACGCUGGCGGCAGGCCUAACACAUGCAAGUCGAACGAGUGGCGGACGGGUGAGUAAUGUCUGGGAAACUGCCUGAUGGAGGGGGAUAACUACUGGAAACGGUAGCUAAUACCGCAUACCAUCGGAUGUGCCCAGAUGGGAUUAGCUAGUAGGUGGGGUAAAGGAUCACCUAGGCGACGAUCCCUAGCUGGUCUGAGAGGAGUACCAGCCACACUGGAACGGCGGCACGGUCCAGACUCCUACGGUAGGCAGCAGUGUGGAAUAUUGAACAAUGGGCGCAAGCCUGAUGCAGCCAUGCCGCGUGUAUGAAGAAGGCCUGCGGGUUGUAAAGUACUUUCAGCGGGGAGGCGUUACCCGCAGAAGAAGCACCGGCUAACUCCGUGCCAGCAGCCGCGGUAAUUC